GGCGAGGUAGUUUAACGGUAGAACAUUAGAAUCAUAAUCUAAUAGUUAUAGGUUCGAAUCCUAUUCUCGUUA
rnacentral:tRNA from 1 species